rnacentral:rRNA from 1 species
UGGGGAAUCUUGGACAAUGGGCGCAAGCCUGAUCCAGCCAUGCCGCGUGGAUGAUGAAGGCCUUAGGGUUGUAAAAUCCUUUCGUUGGGGACGAUAAUGACGGUACCCAAAGAAGAAGCUCCGGCUAACUUCGUGCCAGCAGCCGCGGUAAUACGAAGGGGGCUAGCGUUGUUCGGAUUUACUGGGCGUAAAGCGCGUGUAGGCGGGUCGUUAAGUUGGGGGUGAAAUCCCGAGGCUCAACCUCGGAACUGCCUUCAAAACUGGCGACCUGGACCUAAGUAGAGGCAAGUGGAAUUGCGAGUGUAGAGGUGAAAUUCGUAGAUAUUCGCAGGAACACCAGUGGCGAGGCGACUUGCUGGACUUAUGGUGACGCUGAGACGCGAAAGCGUGGGGAGCAAACAGGAUUAGAUACCCACGUAGUCCCUGAGCGGGCUGGCAAGGCGCAU